AGGCCUUUAAUAAUCUCUCAUAAGGGUGCAUUGGGAACUUAAACAAAAAAAAUAAAAAAAGAAAAAAAAUCCACAAACUAGAGACCUACUUUGUUGGAGCACUCUGAGUUGUGCAAAUUUUGAUCUAGAGAAUUCUAAAUUGAGCAAGUUAUAUCAAUAGAAUUGAGUGGAUAAAGUAUGGAGCGCCAAAAUUUGAAUGGAGUGGAAUUAAUGAAGGCAAGAGGCAUGGGAGCGCAAUGUAUAGUAUGUAGUAGACAAAAAAAUCAAAGAAUGGGUGAUUUAGUUGGAGACAUGUAUACUACUUAGAAAGUUUGUGCUCAAGGAAAAAGUGGAGAUUACAGGAUAGGAUAGAAAUUUUUAUCUAGAAGAUCAAAUUGUGAUCUAGAUUUAUAAGGUAUAGGUGAGUAGAAAGAAGAAGUGAAAAUUUUAUAAGAGUUAGAGCUAAUUAAAAUAGAGGCGAUGGCGAUGUGAUGUUGGGUUGGUGUUGACAGAUUUAAGCUAAAUAAUUAUUUCAAAGGAGGAGGCAAAGUGAAGGCAUUCCUAUUGAAGGAAAUCAAAGUAGUAGUAUUGCGAGGAUGUAGAGACAAUCUAAAAGAGAUGGUCUGAUAGUGAUGAAGAUAGGACAUGGCUUGGGAGUUUACAACCAUAGUAAAUUGGCUGUGAUUUGCUAUGUUGUUGCGAGAUGACAGUUGAUUUCCAAUGAUUUUUAGACAACAAGUUCAAACGAGUUCUUAUACAUAUUUUUUAGUGUGAUAAUAAGCAAUUAUGGUAUUGUAAUCAAUGUUUUAGUAUGGUC
rnacentral:lncRNA from 1 species